CGUAAUUCAACACUCCUGGGUCGGAUCUGUUUAGAAAGAUCUUAGCAGAACCGCUUCCCACAAGUUAUCAGAAUGAUUGUGUCGACACUUUUUCUCAGUUUGUUACUGACUUUCUUGUCAUGUGUCCAGUCGGAGGUUGUUUUGACCCAGCCAGAGGCAGAGACUGGCCGUCCCGCAGGCAGCCUGAAACUGACCUGUAAAACCAGCGGCUUCAAUCUUGGCAGCUACUACAUGCACUGGGUCCGACAGGUUCCCGGACAGGGUCUGGCGUGGCUGCUGUACUACUAUAGUUCAUCGGACAAUAGCUAUGCACCAGCGAUUAAGGGCCGAUUUACUGCGUCCAAAGACACUUCAAACAACAUUUUCGCGUUGGACAUGGAGAACCUGAAGAUGGAAGACACCGCCAUCUAUUACUGUGCAAGAGAACACAGCGGGAGGAACCAGGGCUGGACCCGUUCAAAAACAGCUUGAGGGAACAUUUUGUCAAUUCCAUCAUAAACUGACGGUCAGUACGAGUUUUAAAUGCAAUUAUACCAACUGCGAUCUGAAGCAGACCUCAGGCUGCCUCUUACAAAACUAUCAAAGAGGAAAUGUACCAUUUAAACUAGCAAACUGGUGACACAAUGGGACAAUGUUUUGGGCAUCUCAUAUGUACGCUAACACUUCCAUCAAUUAAAUGCUCGGACAAAAUGUUCGUUUUAAUAUAUCUGACAGCUCAGGAAAUCACUGCUCAUUGUUAUGUCAACUAUGGCAUCAAUUCUAAACAUGAACAGUACUAAAUGGCUCUUUCAAAUGAAAAUUGAGACCUCGAGUAAAGAACAGAGAAUGAGUGUACUGGUCUACAUCAUUGUGAUACUACAGUGGGUCACAGUGUUGUGCACAGCGACAUCCUCAUACAAAAACCACUGAAAAGUGUUUAUCUCAAAUUGGUGAUUUCUACCAUGGCAGGUGUGAGAAAUAAUGUGAGAUGCAAUUUAAACGCAAUCCGGUAGUGCUAGUUUGUACAAGUGUAUAAUUUUUCUACCUUCUUCGUGUUGAUUGUCAAGUUCAAUGCAGACCAAACGUGGAAAAGUAUUCCAAGCUUUCAAAAUACAAUGGAUCGUAAAAGCUGGAAUAACACACUGAAUCAUUUUUAAAGGAGUCUGAAUCACUGCUUUCUAGGAAGUGAAGAAAUUCUCUGCAUUUUACAGUUUACAGUCUGUCAUAGUAUUUGACACAAUGUGUCUCACAGUGAUAUAGCUGGAGGACUGGGGCCAAGGGACC